rnacentral:miRNA from 1 species
UCAUAAAUCACCAGGGGACCUUAUUAAAAUACUGAUUCUGAUUUAGUGGGGAUGGGGAGGGAUCCUAGAUUCUGCAUUUCUAACAAGCUCCCAGAGGAUGCUGAU